CCGCAGCAGCGCCACCCCCUCCCCUCCCCUGGCCGCCCCUCCCGGAGCGGCGCCCGCCCCCGCCGCCGGCGCGGAGGGGGGAUGCCGGCCGGGGGCGGCGGGCGCGGGGGGAGGCCCGAGGCUGGAGAGGUGCGUGCUCGGAUUGCCGGAGCGCCGGUCUCGACCCGUGCGUACCCAAAUGAAGCUGCCAUUUGUGAGCUGUGAGUGACGAGCGUGUGUGUCUCUUAAUUUUCCACUACUGCCAGCUUCCUCCUGUGUCUUCAGUGGUGGUUACCCUGCAGAUGUGAGUGGCUGGCUGAGAAAGACAUGCUGCUGGGCCAGGCAGCAGCUGCCUGGAAAGAGCAGUCUGCCAUAAAUAUAAUUCAUCUGGAGAAGGACCUGACACCUUUGGUGGACAGAUCCGAUACAGUGGAAUGAAAUCCCAUGAGAAACAAUGACCAUUUCACACCUCGUUCAUUUGUGUGCUGGAACCAUCCCUGUCCUAUGGGAUGGUGAACAGACGACUGGAAGAUAAAUAUAUUUUUUUACCAUUUGCAGUUUCUAAGAUCUUCUUUCCUGACAGGAAACCUGUCCCAGCAGUUUUCUAAGUUUGAAAGUAUGAUGAUAGCCCUAUAAUAUUCUGGCUAUUCCUCCUUACAGAUCUCUUAACAACACAUGAAGAGCUGCAGAUCUUGACUGAUUUAAUGUAUUUAAAUUUCCCUUAUGGAGAACUGGAUUUGAAGUGCUUGGGAUUGCAAUCGAAAUGAAUUUGAUGGUUCAGCUCUGCCUCUAAUGGAUUACAGUAUGAAUGUCAUCAACUUCAUAUUACAGUAAAAAGUGUAAUCUCCUUCCAAAUUUAGAAGUCUGGAAGUGAAGAGAGUGGCUGAAGUCCAUCUUUUGAUCCCAGAAAGAAUGCAGAGAGGGAAUUAAUACCAGUCUUCAUUCAGAAGAGUCUAUUUGCUGAGCAUCUGCUUUCUUGACGUGGGAAGGCAUAACUGAAAUCUGAAGAAACAUUUAAAAAUAUCAAAUUAGCCACAGGAUGUGAAUCCUAAUUUUACAAUGAUGGAAUAAAACAUUGAUAUGCAAGACGUUAGGAAAAAAUGUUUCUGCUGUUGGUUGCCCCUUUUUCUCUUUUCAUUUUCAGAUGCUUUCAGUAUCCUGCGUCUGUGAGUGGAGUUGUAUGAGGUAUGGGUGAAAUUGCAGCUGAAAAAAUAAAAACAAAACCUUGAGACAUUUACACAUACCCGCUUUAAGAAUCAGAUUGGCUUCAGUAGUGUCUGUGUUUUCAUUUUGUAACAUGCCUUCACUAUCUGUAAAGUAUGACAUUUUCUGGCAGGAUUUUUGUGGAAAUAGAUAGUACUAAACUAAUAGAAGAGAACAGUCAUGUAAAGUGAGUUCACUAACAUAAUUCAUAUUUCCAAUCAGGCAAAAACCGUAGUGUCAACAUAACUUCAAUUCAAUACAAUUCCUUUGUUGAAUUUCAAGUACUCAAUAAAUGGCUCACAAGUGAUUAUUCUUAGAAACUGUAUGUCACAUCACUACCUAAAGGUACAUGGAGAAAAACAGUUAUAGCUCUUAAUUAACUCAUAAACAGAAAACAGAAACAAACCUCUUCUAACAGAAUUAUUUUAUAGGAAUUGUGAACUCAGUUUUACCUUUGAUAAACUGGACUUUUCUGUUUUGCCAUGAAACCUAUAAUAUACUAGUUUCUGUGUUUUGAACAGUAUCAUGAUGCCCAAACCUUAAGUUCAGCCUACAUAAUCAGCAACUCAGCUAUAGGUGUUUUUUAGCUCUUUGCUUUUGCGUCAAGAUAGGCAGCCUGGUACCAGGAAUCAUGGCUGACUCAGAUCUGUGUAUAUUUGUUUUAAACAUUUGUUUUGGUUUUAACCUGGGACUCAAGAGUAAAAAACUAUAGAUGAAGAUCUGUGUGCACUGAAGAUGAAAAAAAUGUUUGCAUCAACCCUCGCACUGUGAAACUGCAGAACAAUGUACAGCUUGAGGUGUGACUCAGGCUCACUUAAGCAAAUCCACCAUGAAAAGUCAAAAUCACUUAUGGGGGUUAAAUAUGAAUAAAAUGUCAUUUUAAUAGUCUUUCUAAUCCUCAAAAGAUUCAGAAGAUGUUUUAGGUUUUCUCUG